rnacentral:rRNA from 1 species
GGGGGGCUUAACAUGCAGUCGAGCGGGAAUUUUAAAUGAAGCUUCGGUAGAUUUUUAAGAUGGAGAGCGGCGGACGGGUGAGUAACGCGUAGGCAACCUGCCCUUUGCAGAGGGAUAGCCAUUGGAAACGAUGAUUAAAACCUCAUAAUACUAAAUAGUCACAUGGCUGUUUGGUCAAAGAUUUAUCGGCAAAGGAUGGGCCUGCGUCUGAUUAGCUAGUUGGUGGGGUAACGGCCCACCAAGGCGACGAUCAGUAGCCGACCUGAGAGGGUGAUCGGCCACAUUGGAACUGAGACACGGUCCAAACUCCUACGGGAGGCAGCAGUGGGGAAUAUUGCACAAUGGGCGAAAGCCUGAUGCAGCAACGCCGCGUGAAGGAAGAAGGUCUUCGGAUCGUAAACUUCUGUCCUUGGGGAAGAUAAUGACGGUACCCUUGGAGGAAGCCCCGGCUAACUACGUGCCAGCAGCCGCGGUAAUACGUAGGGGGCAAGCGUUAUCCGGAAUUAUUGGGCGUAAAGAGUGCGUAGGUGGUUACUUAAGCGCGGGGUUUAAGGCAAUGGCUCAACCAUUGUUCGCCCUGCGAACUGGGUUACUUGAGUGCAGGAGAGGAAAGCGGAAUUCCUAGUGUAGCGGUGAAAUGCGUAGAUAUUAGGAGGAACACCAGUGGCGAAGGCGGCUUUCUGGACUGUUACUGACACUGAGGCACGAAAGUGUGGGGAGCAAACANGAUUAGAUACCCUGGUAUUCCACACCGUAAACGAUGAGCACUAGGUGUCGGGGUCGCAAGAAUUCGGUUGCCGCAUUUAACGCGUUAAACACUCCCCCCUGGGGGAGUAGAACGCAAGGUUUA